rnacentral:rRNA from 1 species
UACGUAGGGUGCAAGCGUUGUCCGGAAUUAUUGGGCGUAAAGAGCUCGUAGGCGGUUCGUCGCGUCGGCUGUGAAAUCCCGAGGCUCAACCUCGGAUCUGCGGUGGGUACGGGCAGACUAGAGUGGAUGUAGGGGGAGACUGGAAAUUCCUGGUGUAGGCGGUGAAAAUGCGGCAGAUAUCAAGGAGGAACACCGAUGGCGAAGGCAGGUCUCUGGGGCAUUAACUGACGCUAAGGAGCGAAAGCAUGGGGAGCGAACAGG